UCCGAUAUGGUGUAGUGGUUAACAUCGUUCGCUCUCAUUAGGAUCUGAUUCAUCAGAACCGAUUGGAACCGAACAGCCCCGGGUUCGAUUCCCGGUGUCGGAA